rnacentral:rRNA from 1 species
AGACCCGAAACCCGGUGAUCUAGCCAUGGGCAGGUUGAAGGUUGGGUAACACUAACUGGAGGACCGAACCGACUAAUGUUGAAAAAUUAGCGGAUGACCUGUGGCUGGGGGUGAAAGGCCAAUCAAACCGGGAGAUAGCUGGUUCUCCCCGAAAGCUAUUUAGGUAGCGCCUCGUGAAUUCAUCUCCGGGGGUAGAGCACUGUUUCGGCUAGGGGGUCAUCCCGACUUACCAACCCGAUGCAAACUGCGAAUACCGGAGAAUGUUAUCACGGGAGACACACGGCGGGUGCUAACGUCCGUCGUGAAGAGGGAAACAACCCAGACCGCCAGCUAAGGUCCCAAAGUCAUGGUUAAGUGGGAAACGAUGUGGGAAGGCCCAGACAGCCAGGAUGUUGGCUUAGAAGCAGCCAUCAUUUAAAGAAAGCGUAAUAGCUCACUGGUCGAGUCGGCCUGCGCGGAAGAUGUAACGGGGCUAAACCAUGCACCGAAGCUGCGGCAGCGACACUGUGUGUUGUUGGGUAGGGGAGCGUUCUGUAAGCCUGUGAAGGUGGCCUGUGAGGGUUGCUGGAGGUAUCAGAAGUGCGAAUGCUGACAUAAGUAACGAUAAAGCGGGUGAAAAGCCCGCUCGCCGGAAGACCAAGGGUUCCUGUCCAACGUUAAUCGGGGCAGGGUGAGUCGACCCCUAAGGCGAGGCCGAAAGGCGUAGUCGAUGGGAAACGGGUUAAUAUUCCCGUACUUGGUGUUACUGCGAAGGGGGGACGGAGAAGGCUAUGUUGGCCGGGCGACGGUUGUCCCGGUUUAAGCGUGUAGGUGUGUGUUCCAGGUAAAUCCGGUUCACUUUAACACUGAGGCGUGACGACGAGGCACUACGGUGCUGAAGCAACAAAUGCCCUGCUUCCAGGAAAAGCCUCUAAGCAUCAGGUAACAUCAAAUCGUACCCCAAACCGACACAGGUGGUCAGGUAGAGAAUACCAAGGCGCUUGAGAGAACUCGGGUGAAGGAACUAGGCAAAAUGGUGCCGUAACUUCGGGAGAAGGCACGCUGACACGUAGGUGAAGUGAUUUACUCACGGAGCUGAAGUCAGUCGAAGAUACCAGCUGGCUGCAACUGUUUAUUAAAAACACAGCACUGUGCAAACACGAAAGUGGACGUAUACGGUGUGACGCCUGCCCGGUGCCGGAAGGUUAAUUGAUGGGGUCAGCGCAAGCGAAGCUCCUGAUCGAAGCCCCGGUAAACGGCGGCCGUAACUAUAACGGUCCUAAGGUAGCGAAAUUCCUUGUCGGGUAAGUUCCGACCUGCACGAAUGGCGUAAUGAUGGCCAGGCUGUCUCCACCCGAGACUCAGUGAAAUUGAACUCGCUGUGAAGAUGCAGUGUACCCGCGGCAAGACGGAAAGACCCCGUGAACCUUUACUAUAGCUUGACACUGAACAUUGAGCCUUGAUGUGUAGGAUAGGUGGGAGGCUUUGAAGCGUGGACGCCAGUCUGCGUGGAGCCGACCUUGAAAUACCACCCUUUAAUGUUUGAUGUUCUAACGUGGACCCGU